UACGUAGGGACCGAGCGUUGUCCGGAAUUAUUGGGCGUAAAGGGCUCGUAGGCGGUUCGUCACGUCGGGAGUGAAAACUCGGGGCUUAACCCCGAGCCUGCUUCCGAUACGGGCAGACUAGAGGUAGGCAGGGGAGAGCGGAACUCCUGGUGUAGCGGUGGAAUGCGCAGAUAUCAGGAAGAACACCGGUGGCGAAGGCGGCCCUCUGGGCCUUACCUGACGCUGAGGAGCGAAAGCGUGGGUAGCGAACAGG
rnacentral:rRNA from 1 species